UAGAGAAACUGCUGUAAUACCUCAACAGGAUUAUUCUUUUCCAAGUACCAUCCAUGAUCCAGUAUUUAAUUACUCUUCUAUUUCUACCAGAAACUAUUAAUUAAGUUGUCCUAUCUUUUCAGAGAAGAUGAAGGCCAAAGCUAGAUAAUACAAUUUCUUAAGUG